rnacentral:rRNA from 1 species
GUGCCAGCCGCCGCGGUAAUACGGGGGGUGCAAGCGUUAUUCGGAAUUACUGGGCGUAAAGAGCGCGUAGGCGGUUUCUUAAGUCAGGUGUGAAAGCCCGGGGCUCAACCCCGGAAGUGCACUUGAAACUAAGAGACUUGAGUAUGGGAGAGGGAAGUGGAAUUCCUGGUGUAGCGGUGAAAUGCGUAGAUAUCAGGAGGAACAUCGGUGGCGAAGGCGACUUCCUGGACCAAUACUGACGCUGAGGCGCGAAGGCGUGGGGAGCAAACAGGAUUAGAUACCCGGGUAGUCC